AAGGGAGCGCAGGCGGGAAGGCAAGUCUUUCCUGAAAGGGCGGGGCUCAACCCCGCAGGGGGAAAGAAACUGCCCUCCUUGAGUGCAGGAGAGGAAAGCGGAAUUCCUAGUGUAGCGGUGAAAUGCGUAGAUAUUAGGAGGAACACCAGUGGCGGAGGCGGCUUUCUGGACUGCAACUGACGCUGANGCUCGAAAGCCAGGGGAGCGAACGGGAUUAGAUACCCCCGGUAGUCNUGGCCGUAAAC
rnacentral:rRNA from 1 species